UUUCGAUCUCUAGACAGACAGCCCUUAUGGUUAAGGCCUCAGUGCUUCAUGUCCCUUGCGAGCAGUAAGCAGGGAACUCAGUUUCCCGGAGAGGAGUGCGUCAGGAGAUCCCCCUAGAGAAAUACCUGUUUCAAAGUUCUUUUUUUAAAAAAAGUUAUUUCCUUCCUCUCCUCUCCGCCAGUGACUUCCUUCUACCCCUCCCCUCUCGCCGCACACACAGAGGAGAUCCUACAGCUGCAGCUGCAGCCUCAAGCUACCAGAGUCCAGCCGAGCCCCGAAGGAAAAGGCAAGAUACACUGUCUAACUUUUCCUUUCUCCCGGAAACUUUGUGGAACGUGUUUCUGUCUGGCUGAUCCCUGGGGCCUGCCAGGCACGAGCACAGAGCAGGCAUUUACAAGUGGAAAACUGCCAGGAGGCAGCAAUGGCCGAUGGGGGUGGGACAGAUCCCGCCGUGUUCACCUCCAGCACUCUACCCUCAGAUCCUCGCCUCUUCGCGACAGUGACCAAUGCCUACCUGGGCACCCGAGUUUACAGAGACAUCCUCCAUGUAAAUGGGGUAUAUAAUGGAGCAGUGGGGGACACUCACCGUGCCGACAUCCCCAGCCCUGUCAAUGUCAGAAUCAGUGUGCCUGACGAGGAUGGACUGACAGAAACCUUCACCUUGAACACCAGGACAGGGACCUUCAGUCAUGUGCUUCAGUCAGCCGGUUACACAGCCACCUACAGGCUCUUCGCCCACCAGUCCCUGGUACACCUACUGGCCUUCAGCAUCACUAUCCAACGACUGGCUCCCAAAGGCCAGCCAGUGACUGUGCAGCUCCAGACGCAAUUCACACCACAAAGCCAGGACCUGGUCUUGCACAGAGGGCAGGACUUCCAGGGAGCUCACUAUAUCUAUGGGGAAACGUUGAUCCCAGAGGUGGAGGGGGCUCCACAGCCCUCUGUGCACAUGAUCUGGACUCCCGUUCCGCAGGCGGUGACCCUGCCCGGGGAAGAGCCGGAGAGAACCUGGGAGUUCCUGACCGCAGUGGAUGGCAGCGAAGAGGAAGUGAAGAGGCACUUUCAUGAAGGAAAGUCCCUGAUCGCUGCUGGCUCCUUAUACGCCUCUCACACCCGGGCCUGGGCAGCGCUCUGGAAAGGCUGCCAUGUAGAUGUAGAUGGGCCUUUCCCUUUGAGGCAGGCCUUGUAUGGCUGUCUCUAUUACCUGCUGAGCGCAAUUCCUCCCCUGGAUUCUCCUGACUUCCUCUUCCAUGGAAUCAGCCCCGGUGGGUUAUCCAACGGCACGCAGGGAGAAGACUAUUGGGGGCACGUCUUCUGGGACCAGGACACGUGGAUAUACCCAAACAUCCUGUUGUUUUACCCGGAAGCAGCCCGCGCCAUCCUGCAGUACCGUAUUCGAGCACUAGGUGGCGCGCUGAAGAACGCCCAGGAGCAGGGAUAUAAGGGUGCCAAGUUCCCUUGGGAGAGCGCGGCCACUGGCCGGGAAGUCUGCCCUGAAAAGAUUUAUGGAGCCCAAGAAGUUCACAUCAAUGGGGACGUGUUGCUGGCCUUUGAGCAGUAUUACCACACCACACAGGACCGCAAACUGUUCCAGGAGGAAGGCGCCUGGGACGUGGUUGGUACCGUGGCUCAGUACUGGUGCAGCAGGGUGGUCUGGAGUCAGGAGGAGCAGCGCUACCACAUCAAAGGUGUCAUGCCCCCAGAUGAAUAUCACAACAGCGUCGAUAACUCUGUUUACACCAAUGCCGUGGCCCAGCGGAGCUUGAGGUUUGCAGCCGACCUGGCCCACGAUUUCCAGAUCCCGGUGCCGGAGGAGUGGCAGGAGGUGGCCAAGAAAAUCAAAGUGCCAUUUGAUGCAGCCAGGAACUACCACCCAGAGUACGAUGGAUACAGCCCAGGUAAGCCCGUGAAACAAGCAGAUGUCGUCUUGCUCGGAUACCCAGUGAUGUAUCCCAUGAGCACUGAAGUCCGAAAGAACGACUUGGAGACAUAUGAGCCCGUCACUGCGCGGGAUGGGCCAGCCAUGACCUGGAGCAUGUUUGCCAUUGGCUGGAUGGAACUGAAGGAGAUCCAAAGGGCACAGAGUCAACUGAACAAGUGUUUCAACAACAUCACCGAGCCAUUCAAGUGUAGAUCUGGGCGGAGAACUCGGACGGGUCAGGAGCUGUGAAUUUCCUGACAGGCAUGGGGGGAUUCCUGCAGGCCAUCCUCUUUGGCUACACAGGGUUCAGGAUCACCAAGGGCAGCCUGAACUUCGACCCGAUAUGCCCUGCCAACAUUCGAAAGCUCAAGAUCACGGGGGUCUCGUACCUGGGGAGCAAGCUGAACUUCACGCUGACCGAAGAGACCGUUAGGGUCAAGGUGACAAAGUCCUCAGGUGACCCCCGUCUGUCCCCACUGGAGGCCGUGCUGGGAGCAUCGGGGCAGCACAUCCCUUUGCCGGAAGGGCAGAGCAUCUCCUUCGCCACAACUGCUGGCCGGAUCCAGAGGGCAUCUGCUGAGCCACAUUAAGCCCCAGAUACUGAAUUUGUCAGAGAAAGCAAGUAUUUAAAGUCAUCAAAGCUAUUCAAACGUGGCAAGGAUCCAGAGUCCUACGGCAGUGUUCUAGCUAAGGGAUUCCCUCCAUGAGCAGAGUGACUUUUGCCCUGUGCACCAAUAUGAGGUCAUGUGCGUGGGUGCGGAAGCAUGCCAUCACAGCACUCACCACUUACAAAAUUCCUGGAUAUAUAUUUUAAAAAAAUCUUCAGAGGGGGAGCUGAGUUAGUCUCUAACAGGAAAAAUUUAAACAAAUAGUCUUUAAGGUGCUACUAAGCUAACAAAACAUGUAGAUGGUAUCAUGAGCUUUCAUGGGCAUAACCCACUUCUGUCAUCUGAAGAAGUGGGUUGUGCCCACGAAAGGUCAUGAUGCCAUCUACAUGUUUUGUUAGUCUUUAAGGUGCUACUAGACUAUUCGCUUUUUAUUUUUUUUAAUGUUAUGAAAGAAUACUGAAGCAAGAGUUCAUUAAUAAAGGUACAUGACUUUA